rnacentral:rRNA from 1 species
AUGGAAGAUCGGGUCAGCCUAGAUGGCUUCCCUACCGACCACGAGUUCUUGGAGGACUACGACCUCGAGGAAGAGGAUGAAAUGGACAUCGACGAUGAGCCUUUGUUCGAGGAGGAGCUCGCCAACCAAGCCACCGGGGCGAAAUCGAAGCGCAAGAGCAAGCGGACGAAGGCAUACCCGGCUCCCGAGGACAAGCUCCUUUGUGAGUGUUGGAGGGACAUUGGGAAAAACCCCAAGGUCGGCGCCGAACAAAAGGCAUCGACCUUUUGGAUUCGUGUUCAUCGUGAGUUCCAUGAGCGCAAGAAGUUUGCGCCGUACCAAAUGCAUAACAUGCGCGGGUGGGUAUUCAUUUCGAAGUGA